AUGAACGCUGGCGGCGUGCUUAACACCUUCCAGUCGCACGGAAAGGCUCCUGCUUGCAGGGGUACUCGAGUGGCGAACGGGUGAGUAACACGUGGGUGAUCUGCCCUGCACUUCGGGAUAAGCCUGGGAAACUGGGUCUAAUACCGGAUAGGACGAUGGUUUGGAUGCCAUUGUGGAAAGUUUUUCGGUGUGGGAUGAGCUCGCGGCCUAUCAGCUUGUUGGUGGGGUAAUGGCCUACCAAGGCGUCGACGGGUAGCCGGCCUGAGAGGGUGUACGGCCACAUUGGGACUGAGAUACGGCCCAGACUCCUACGGGAGGCAGCAGUGGGGAAUAUUGCACAAUGGGCGCAAGCCUGAUGCAGCGACGCCGCGUGGGGGAUGACGGCCUUCGGGUUGUAAACUCCUUUCGCUAGGGACGAAGCGCAAGUGACGGUACCUGGAGAAGAAGCACCGGCUAACUACGUG
rnacentral:rRNA from 1 species